rnacentral:rRNA from 1 species
GAUGAACGCUGGCGGCGUGCCUAAUACAUGCAAGUCGAGCGAACAGAUAAGGAUCUUGCUCCUUUGACGUUAGCGGCGGACGGGUGAGUAACACGUGGGUAACCUCCCUAUAAGACUUUGAUAACUUCGGGAAACCGGAGCUAAUACCGGAUAAUAUUUCGAACCGCAUGGUUCGAUAGUUAAAGAUGGUUUUGCUCUCACUUAUAGAUGGACCCGCGCCGUAUUAGCUAGUUGGUAAGGUAACGGCUUACCAAGGCGACGAUACGUAGCCGACCUGAGAGGGUGAUCGGCCACACUGGAACUGAGACACGGUCCAGACUCCUACGGGAGGCAGCAGGAGGGAAUCGUCCGCAAUGGGCGAAAGCCUGUCGGAGCAACGCCGCGUGAGUGAGGAAGGUCUUCGGAUCGUAAAACUCUGUUAUUAGGGAAGAACAUACGUGUAAGUAACUGUGCACGGCGUGACGGUACCUAAUCAGAAAGCCACGGCUAACUACGUG